rnacentral:rRNA from 1 species
UACGUAGGGUGCGAGCGUUGUCCGGAAUUAUUGGGCGUAAAGAGCUCGUAGGCGGCCUGUCACGUCGGAUGUGAAAGCCCGGGGCUUAACCCCGGGUCUGCAUUCGAUACGGGCAGGCUGGAGUUCGGUAGGGGAGAUCGGAAUUCCUGGUGUAGCGGUGAAAUGCGCAGAUAUCAGGAGGAACACCGGUGGCGAAGGCGGAUCUCUGGGCCGAUACUGACGCUGAGGAGCGAAAGCGUGGGGAGCGAACAGG